CCUGCCUGCUGGGCCUUGGCUGUGGCCCCCGGCUAGACGGUGCCAUCAGGAGGAAGAGCGCUGGGCUAGACUGGCCCAAGGUCUGCUCCCUGCCCCCACGGGCCUGGUUCCCACUCAGGCCCUUGUAGCAGGAGGGACGAUUCCUUCCACAAAACCAGUGUGGCAAGAGCACAUCGCCAGGAUUUGGGAGACGGAAGGCCCUGGAGGAUCACCAAGAGCCCAGGUUCCGUGUGCCGGGCGCGUGGGCCUCAGGCAAUGGUGCGUGGAGGAGGGAUGUUUAAGACGUCGGCUCCCUGGGAGGUCCCCAAGUCAACUGGCAGUGCCCCUGGGAAGGAGUGAGAGUUCCCAGUCUCUAUGGUUCCCUGUUUGGUGAUGUAAGCUCUUCGCCUCAUACAUGCUCCUGUCCUCCACCAUGAGUUCCUCACCAGAGCCAAGCUGAUGCCAACAGCGUAUCCUCAAAUCUCCAUGACCUACAUAAGCCUUUUUUCCCUUUUUAAAGACAGCCUGCCUUGGGUAUUUUGUUAUGGU